rnacentral:rRNA from 1 species
UACGUAGGGUGCGAGCGUUGUCCGGAAUUAUUGGGCGUAAAGAGCUCGUAGGCGGCUUGUCGCGUCGACUGUGAAAUCCCGCGGCUCAACUGCGGGUCUGCAGUCGAUACGGGCAGGCUAGAGUUCGGUAGGGGAGACUGGAAUUCCUGGUGUAGCGGUGAAAUGCGCAGAUAUCAGGAGGAACACCGAUGGCGAAGGCAGGUCUCUGGGCCGAUACUGACGCUGAGGAGCGAAAGCGUGGGGAGCGAACAGG